GACGGAGGAUGCAAGUGUUAUCCGGAAUCACUGGGCGUAAAGCGUCUGUAGGUGGUUCGAAAAGUCCACUGUUAAAAAUUGAAGCUUAACUUCAAAGAUGCCGUGGAAACUUUCAAACUAGAGUGUGGUAGGGGUAGAGGGAAUUUCCAGUGGAGCGGUGAAAUGCGUAGAUAUUGGAAAGACCACCGAUGGCGAAGGCACUCUACUGGGCCAUUACUGACACUGAGAGACGAAAGCUAGGGGAGCGAAAGGG
rnacentral:rRNA from 1 species